GGGGAUGUGGCUCAGUGGUUGAGUGCCCCUGAAUUCAAUCCUUCGUACCAAAAAAAAAAAAAAAAAAAGAGGAAAAAUUAAUUUAACAGCAUCAUUUUCCUAAUUACAAAGGAUAAAAAAGGGAGGCAAGCAUACUAUAGAGGCUAAGAAUGCAGACUUGAAAAAUUAGACUACUUUGGUUCAAAUCCUAACAUUGCCA
rnacentral:tRNA from 1 species